UGGGGUGUCGCCAAGCGGUAAGGCACGGGACUUUGACUCCCGCAUCCGUAGGUUCGAAUCCUGCCACCCCAGCCA
rnacentral:tRNA from 1 species